UGUGAAGGAAAGGUGAAAAGGACCCCGGGAGGGGAGUGAAAGAGAACCUGAAACCUUGUGCCUACAAGCACAUAGAGCACAUCAACGUGUGAUAUGGUACUUUUUGUAGAACGGUCCGGCGAGCGAUUGUAUGUUGCGAGCUUAAGCGCUUAAGGCGUGGAGGCGUAGCGAGAGCGAGUCUGAAUAGGGCGUUCAGUAGCAUGCAAUGGGCCCGAAACCGGGUGACCUACCCAUGAUCAGGCUGAAGUGAAAGUAAAAUUUCAUGGAGGGCCGAACCGACCUCCGUUGAAAAGGCGGCGGAUGAAUUGUGGGUAGCGGAGAAAUUCCAAUCGAACUCGGAGAUAGCUGGUUCUCCCCGAAAUAGCUUUAGGGCUAGCCUCAUAUUAGAUACCCGGAGGUAAAGCACUGAAUGGCCUAGCGCCCGAGAGGGUAGCGAAGCCUAUCAAACUAAGAAUGCCGGAGUAUUGAUGUAUGGGAGUCAGACAGUGUGAGAUAAAUCUCAUUGUCAAAAGGGAAACAGCCCAGAUCUACAGCUAAGGUCCCAAAUUGUAUCUAAGUGGAAAACGAUGUGGAAAUACGCAGACAACCAGGAUGUUGGCUCAGAAGCAGCCACUCAUUUAAAGAGUGCGUAAUAGCUCACUGGUCGAGCGUCUCUGCGCGGAAAAUUUAACGGGGCUAAGAUACAAACCGAAGCUUAGGCUGCACGUAAGUGCGGGGUAGGGGAGCGUUGUGUAAGCGGAGAAACAGUAGCGUAAGCGGCUGUGGAGUUUACAGAAGUGAGAAUGCCGGAAUGAGUAGCGCGAAUGUGGUGAGAAUCCACAUGGCCGGAAACCUCAGGUUUUUGGAGGAAGGUUCGUCCGCUCCAAGUUAGGCGGGAGCUAAGGUCAGGCCGAAAGGCGUAGCCGAUGCACAGACGGUAGAGAUUCCGUCCCCACCGAAAGACUUAAGCACAGGGACACUUUCAGAAGGUCGGAGCCAGGUGUUGGUUCUGGUAGUGAUCGAGGGAAAUAUAGUACCGAAGUCCGGCUGGAAGAGAGGCGAGAAAAGCUGUGUGUAUGUUUAAGGUGCCCGUACCGCAAACCGACACAGGUAGGUAGGAAGAAGAUUCUAAGGCCAACGGGAGAAGGGUUGUUAAGGAACUCGGCAAGUUGACCCCGUAACUUCGGAAUAAGGGGUGCUCACGAGAGUGAGCCGCAGAGAAUAGGCCCAGGCAACUGUUUACCAAAAACACAGGUUUGUGCUAAAUCGAAAGAUGACGUAUACGAGCUGACGCCUGCCCGGUGCUGGAAGGUUAAAAGGAGAUGUGCAAGCAUUGAAUUGAAGCCCCAGUGAACGGCGGCCGUAACUAUAACGGUCCUAAGGUAGCGAAAUUCCUUGUCAGGUAAGUUCUGACCCGCAUGAAAGGCGUAAUGAUCUGGGCACUGUCUCAACAGCCCGCCCGGCGAAAUUGUAGUACCGGUGAAGAUGCCGGUUACCCGCGACAAGACGGAAAGACCCCAUGGAGCUUUACUGUAGCCUAAUAUUGGGUUUCGGUGUUGCAUGCACAGGAUAGAUGGGACGCUGGGAAGUGAGUGCUUUGGCAUUCAUGGAGCGGCCGUUGGGAUACCAUCCUUGCGACAUUGGAAUUCUAACCUGCGCCUUUGAAUCAAGGCGGGGGACAUUGUUAGGUGGGCAGUUUGACUGGGGCGGUCGCCUCCUAAAGAGUAACGGAGGCGUUCAAAGGUUCGCUCAGCUUGAACGGAAAUCAAGCAUGCCGAUAGCCGCUGAAGAAUCCCAGCCCCCAGAACACGACAAACACCAGCAGCGCCAGCACGUAGGCGAUGAACGCCGUCCGCAGAUCGUCGCCCGGCGGGGCGAAGCGGGUGAGCUUCUUAGUCCAGUUCAUCCUCGACGCCCUCCUUUCCGUUGUGCGCCUGCAGGAAUCCAAGAUAUCCGCAUAUGCCCGCGGCGAACAGCGCCGCCGCGCUUUGCAGGAUCCCCGCGGUCCGGCCGGAGCCGAACCCGACCGGCAGCACCAGCAGCAUCAAUCCGGUCAGCACGACCAGCGCCAGCCGCCGCCCGCCGUUCUUCCGC
rnacentral:rRNA from 1 species